CUCGGGAAACUGAGGCUAAUCCCGGAUAGCGCAUCCAGCCUGGAACUGGCGGAUGUGUGAAACGCCCCGGCGCCAUAGGAUGAGGCUGCGGCCGAUUAGGUAGACGGUGGGGUAACGGCCCACCGUGCCGAUAAUCGGUACGGGUCAUGAGAGUGAGAGCCCGGAGACGGACUCUGAGACACGAGUCCGGGCCCUACGGGGCGCAGCAGGCGCGAAACCUUUACACUGCACGACAGUGCGAUAGGGGGACACCGAGUGCGAGGGCAUAGAGCCCUCGCUUUUCUGGACCUUAAGGUGGUCCAGGAACAAGGGCUGGGCAAGACCGGUGCCAGCCGCCGCGGUAACACCGGCAGCCCAAGUGAUGGCCGAUAUUAUUGGGCCUAAAGCGUCCGUAGCUGGCCGGGCAAGUCCGUCGGGAAAUCCACGCGCUUAACGCGUGGGCGUCCGGCGGAAACUGCUCGGCUUGGGACCGGAAGAUCUAGGGGGUACGUCUGGGGUAGGAGUGAAAUCCUGUAAUCCUGGACGGACCACCGGUGGCGAAAGCGCCCUAGGAAGACGGAUCCGACGGUGAGGGACGAAAGCUCGGGUCACGAACCGGAUUAGAUACCCGGGUAGUCCGAGCUGUAAACGAUGUCUGCUAGGUGUGUCACAGGCUACGAGCCUGUGAUGUGCCGUAGGGAAGCCGUGAAGCAGACCGCCUGGGAAGUACGUCCGCAAGGAUGAAAUUCAA
rnacentral:rRNA from 1 species